AGCUGUUAUACAAUAUGAAGGCUGUGAAGAUUCAGUGCAUGUGAUCCAGUGUGCGCAAAGCUGAUCUCAGUCAAACAAUAAAACUUGAAAUUGAUACAAAGUGGUAUAAUUGGACAAGUAUAGAAUGUUUCCCAGUAUCCACAUCGAAAACAAAUCCAAAUGUACUUUCAAUUCAAAGCAAAGGUUUACUACGAAUCUGGAGCUAGCCUUAGCACGCAAUCAAGUCAAUGGAUUGCAGCAACCAAGAAGCCUUCCUGAAACAAAAGCCUGGUUAAAGCAACCUCCUGACUUUAGCUACAGGCUAUACAUAUCCCCAGGCCUUUCCACUAAGCUAUUGAAAAAGCCAAAGGUGGCGAAGAAGAUAAAGCCAUCAACAAGCACUUUUUAUGAGGAAUUGCACAAGAUAAAGUCCAGCUUGUCCAUCCCAUCCAUGGAACACCAGGAGCAACUUAAGAUCAUUACAAGGUUUCCUCGUGUGAGCUCUUACGAAGCCCAGUUACUGUUUGUAAAGUUGGGGAAGUUUAAGUGCAGCAAAUACGAAGAUCCAAAGCCACAUGAUUUUAGACAGUAUGAAUCAGAAAUACCGGAUUUUGUGACAAGCUAUACCAGGGAUCCUUUGAAUCUCAAGUUCAAAUCACAGUGUUUAAGCAAAAUCCAUGGACUUUAUCCUUUAAAGGAAGAAAAAAGGGGAUCUGGAUCAAAGGAAAGAUUUAUCACCUACAAGCCUAAAGAACUCAAGUGGGACUCAAAAUUACUUUUGCCAAAGGAACCUUGGCCUACAAAAUCUGGUUCCUUUACGGCACGUCAGAAGCAGGCACCAAGCCGAAAAAAAGCAGCACCUGGUACAAGAGGAAAAGUAUCCACUGCAACGGUUUCUUCUGAGAGUGACUCUGAUACUGAGCAGCAAGUUAGAAGGCAGCAAGAAACAAAUAAGCAAAAAGAGCAGCUCUCUCGCCCACAUCUACAGCAACAUACUGUUAAGGAAUGACGGAACAGAACCAGCCUCUCAGUGCAUAUAAAACCAGAAUCUUUGGGAAUCUUGUUGCCAGUUGCACAGCUCAGAGUGUUGGAGAGCUGAGUGCAAAUAAUGGAAAAUAAUGGAACAUGCUUGACAACUAUUGUUAUCAUUGCUUUUUUUGGCAUUCAUUCAAAACUAUUGUUAUCACUGUUCUUUUUUGGCAUUCAUUCAAUGCCAGCAUCACUACUGGAGGAUGAAUCUCUAUUCCAACUCAGUGAACAUUAAUAAUUGCAAAAAACAGAUUUAAACACAAGUAUAAUAAAGGAUUAUCCACUGGUAUCCA
rnacentral:lncRNA from 1 species